CACACACACAAACACACUCAACACACACUAAACACACACUUCACGCCAUUUCCAUUGACGCUUGGUGUUCGAGCUUUCAAGCUCCGAUUUGAGUGCCGAGACGAGCCCCGAUCAUCUUUUCGAUCACGUAUCUAAGUAGGUCCUUUUGGGAAGUAAUGACUUGAGGGAGAGAGUGACGUUACUCAUUGAUACAGAGACACAACGAGGUUGAGCAGCUGCCGAUGGUGAUGAAGUGACGAGCAGGAUUCUUUUGUCUUAUUAUGUAUUAAUGAACUCUAGGGUUACAUGUCUUCAUACAUGUAAUCAGAACCUUAUUCCGCUGCGUACUCAGAAGUUUUAUGUUUAUUUGGCUAAGUCAGAGAUAUCUGAACUUACUAGUUAUUUGAGUCUAUACGACUAAACUUCUGUUAUAUUAUAAAUAUUCCUUUUGUUAAAUGAUGAAAU